rnacentral:misc_RNA from 1 species
GUCCACUCAGGCCCCGCCUGGUGUUAGGGCACGCCUGUUGGCGGCCCCUAAAUCUAGUGGCAGAGUGCCCUGGCCUCCCAGCGUCGUAACUUUUCAGCGCUGAGGGUGGUCGGGGACCUCGGUCUCAACCAAACUUUUUUCU